UACGUAGGGUGCGAGCGUUAAUCGGAAUUACUGGGCGUAAAGCGUGCGCAGGCGGUUUUGUAAGCCCGAUGUGAAAGCCCCGGGCUCAACCUGGGAAUGGCAUUUGGGACUGCAAGGCUGGAGUUUGGCAGAGGAGACUGGAAUUCCUGGUGUAGCAGUGAAAUGCGUAGAUAUCAGGAGGAAUACCGAUGGCGAAGGCAGGUCUCUGGGCUAUAACUGACGCUCAUGCACGAAAGCGUGGGGAGCAAACAGG
rnacentral:rRNA from 1 species